rnacentral:rRNA from 1 species
GACGAACGCUGGCGGCGUGCUUAACACAUGCAAGUCGAACGGAAAGGCCCCUUUGGGGGUACUCGAGUGGCGAACGGGUGAGUAACACGGGAGUAACCUGCCCUUGACUUCGGGAUAACUUCAGGAAACUGGGGCUAAUACCGGAUAGGAAUCCUUGCUGCAUGGUGGGGGUUGGAAAGCUUCGGCGGUUUUGGAUGGACUCGCGGCUUAUCAGCUUGUUGGUGGGGUAGUGGCUUACCAAGGCUUUGACGGGUAGCCGGCCUGAGAGGGCGACCGGCCACAUUGGGCCUGCGAUACGGCCCAGACUCCUACCGGAGGCAGCAGUGGCGAAUAUUGCACAAUGGGCGGCAGCCUGAUGCAGCAACGCCGCGUGCGGGAUGACGGCCUUCGGGUUGUAAACCGCUUUCAGCAGGGGCGAAGCUUGUGGUGACGGUACCUGCAGAAGAAGCACCGGCUAACUACGUG